AUUGAACGCUGGCGGCAUGCCUAACACAUGCAAGUCGAACGAGUGGCGGACGGGUGAGUAACGUCUGGGAAACCGCCUGAUGGAGGGGGAUAACUACUGGAAACGGUAGCUAAUACCGCAUACUAUCGGAUGUGCCCAGAGGGGAUUAGCUAGUAGGUGGGGUAAAGGCUCACCUAGGCGACGAUCCCUAGCUGGUCUGAGAGGAUGACCGGCCACACUGGAACUGAGACACGCUCCAGACUCCUACGGGAGGCGCAAGUGGGGAAUUUUGCACAAUGAGCGAAAGCCGGAUGAAGCCAUGCCGCGUGGAUGAGGAAGGCCUUCGGGUUGUAAAGUACUUUCAGCGGGAAGGCGUUACCCGCAGAAGAAGCACCGGCUAACUCCGUGCCAGCAGCCGCGGUAAUUC
rnacentral:rRNA from 1 species